GAUGAAGAACGCAGCGAAAUGCGAUACUUGGUGUGAAUUGCAGAAUCCCGUGAACCAUCGAGUCUUUGAACGCAAGUUGCGCCCGAAGCCAUUAGGCCGAGGGCACGCCUGCCUGGGUGUCACACGUCGUUGCCCCCCCAUCUACUCCUUCGGGAUUGCGGGGGGCGGAUGAUGGCCUCCCGUGCGCCUCGUCGCGCGGUUGGCAUAAAUGCCAAGUCCUCGGCGACGCACGCCACGACAAUCGGUGGUUGCGAAACCUCGGUUGCCCGUCGUGUGCGGUCGUCGUGCAUCGAGGGCUCGAAAAAAUUGCCGGGCUCCGGCUCGGCUUUCAACGCGACCCCAGGUCAGGCGGGGUUACCCGCUGAAUUUAAGCAUAUCAAUAAGCGGAGGA
rnacentral:misc_RNA from 1 species